UUAACUUUUUAUGUGAAAAAGAGUUCAAACAAGUACUUUAUAAGGGUUUUUAUGAAUUUUUCCCGAGUGAAAAAAGUCCAAUUUGAUUUUGAGGGUGGAAUUGAAACCCAGAGGUGCGAAUUAGGGUGCAACUGACAAAAUUGCAAUGUCAGGGUGCAACUAAAAAGGGGCUAAAAGUUAGGAUUUUUUUGGUGAUUAAGCCUUCUUAAUAUGGUAUCAAAGCAAUUUGCUCUAUAUUUCUUCAUUUUCUCAGCUGCAUUUUGCUAAUUUUCUCAGUAAACAAACACUUUUUCUUCAUCAAUUUCUUUUUCAAGGCUAUUUUUUGUUAUCAAUGGCAAAUUCUUUUGCAAGACUUGAAGAUAUUCCUUCACGUCCUUAUUGUGUUCAUCCGAGUGAGAAUCCCUCACUAUUGCCGGUUACAAAUAUGUUAACUGAACAAAAUUAUCAUUCAUAGUGCAGAGCCAUGAAAAAAGCAUUGAUCUCUAAAAACAAGUUAAAGUUUAUUGAUGGAAGUAUUCCUAUUCCUCACAGGAAUGACCCUUCCUUUCCAGCAUGGGAGAGGCGCAAUAAUAUGGAGUGUUUAUGGCUGACUAGAGCAAUAAUUCUACUUCUGUUUCUGAGGAGCCAAGUGUUUUCUACAGCAAAGGAACCCUGCUUAUGUGAAUAGUGGAUCAAAACCAAAUUUUUUGGCUUCAGUCAAAACAAGUAAACAAUAUGUUCUUAUUGUGGAAAGGAAGGACACAGAGUUGAUAUUUGCUAAAUGGAUAAUAGAUACAGGGGCUACAGAUCAUAUAACGUGCAAUUCACAAUUGUUUAAGUCUUCUAAACCUGUUUAUAAUAUGGUUCUAAGGCUGCCUAAUGUUGAACAAGUUCAUAUUGCUGCUAUAGGAGACAUUCAAUCCAGUCCCUUAUUAUUACUCAAAUAUGUCUUGUAUGUGCCAAGUUUUAGUUUCAAUUUGAUAUUAGCCAACAAAUUGACUAA